rnacentral:rRNA from 1 species
GCGGCGGCCUACACAUGCAAGUCGAACGCUUCAGCAAUGAAGAGUGGCAGACGGGUGAGUAACGCGUGGGAACCUUCCCAGUGGUACGGAAUAGCCCAGGGAAACUUGGGGUAAUACCGUAUAAGCCCUUCGGGGGAAAGAUUUAUCGCCAUUGGAUGGGCCCGCGUCGGAUUAGCUUGUUGGUGAGGUAAAAGCUCACCAAGGCGACGAUCCGUAGCUGGUCUGAGAGGAUGAUCAGCCACACUGGGACUGAGACACGGCCCAGACUCCUACGGGAGGCAGCAGUGGG